GCAUCGGUGGUUCAAUGGUAGAAUGCUCGCCUGCCACGCGGGCGAUCCGGGUUCGAUUCCCGGCCGAUGCA
rfam:Dendroctonus ponderosae Seq01010981, whole genome shotgun sequence.